rnacentral:rRNA from 1 species
GUAUUUGAUCAUGGCUCAGAUUCCAACGCUGUCGGCAGGCCUAACACAUGCAAGUCGAGCGGAUGACGGGAGCUUGCUCCUUGAUUCAGCGGCGGACGGGUGAGUAAUGCCUAGGAAUCUGCCUGGUAGUGGGGGACAACGUUUCGAAAGGAACGCUAAUACCUGCAUACGUCCUACGUGGAGAAAGCAGUGGGACCUUCGGGCCUUGCGCUAUCAGAUGAGCCUAGGUCGGAUUAGCUAGUUGGUGAGGUAAUGGCUCACCAAGGCGACGAUCCGUAACUGGUCUGAGAGGAUGAUCAGUCACACUGGAGCUGAGACACGGUCCAGACUCCUACGGGAGGCAGCAGUGGGGAAUAUUGGACAAUGGGCGAAAGCCUGAUCCAGCCAUGCCGCGUGUGUGAAGAAGGUCUUCGGAUUGUAAAGCACUUUAAGUUGGGAGGAAGGGCAGUAAGUUAAUACCUUGCUGUUUUGACGUUACCGACAGAAUAAGCACCGGCUAACUCUGUGCCAGCAGCCGCGGUAAUACAGAGGGUGCAAGCGUUAAUCGGAAUUACUGGGCGUAAAGCGCGCGUANGUGGUUUGUUAACGUUGGAUGUGAAAGCCCCGGGCUCAACCUGGAACUGCAUCCAAAACUGGNANCUAUAGUACGGAAAAGGUGGGGGAAUUUCCCGUUUGUACCGGGUGAAAAAUGCGUUAGAUUUUUGGAAGGNACCACCGUUUGUCGAAANGGCGGACCCACCNUUGACUGGUUUCUUGUCCGCUGGGNGCGGAAACGCUUGGGAGCCACCGGGUUUAUCCGGUGCCUACUCCCCGNUANUAGUNCUAACUUCGCGUUGGCGUGCANUACUUAAUGAUUGCGGCCAGUAAUUUAGUNCUCGUGNGAGNCNACGGGUAGCACAUAAUAUAUGGUGCCGCCGCGGUUUGUUUUUUAUUCAAGCCCCUNG